rnacentral:rRNA from 1 species
GACGAACGCUGGCGGUGUGCUUAACACAUGCAAGUCGAACGGAAAGGCCCUGCUUUCGUGGGGUGCUCGAGUGGCGAACGGGUAAGUAACACGUGAGUAACCUGCCCUUGACUUUGGGAUAACUUCAGGAAACGGGGGCUAAUCCCGUAUAGGAGCUCCUGCUGCAUUGUGGGGGUUGGAAAGUUUCGGCGGUUGGGGAUGGACGCGCGGCUGAUCAGCUUGUUGGUUGGGUAGUGGCAUACCAAGGCUUUGACGGGUAGCCGGCCUGAGAGGGUGACCGGCGACAUUGGGACUGAGAUACGGCGCAGACUGCUACGGGGGGCAGCAGUGGGGAAUAUUGCACAAUGGGCGGAAGCCUGAUGCAGCAACGCCGCGUGCGGGAUGACCGCCUGCGGGUUGUAAACCGCUUCCGCCUGUGACGACGCGUGAGUGACGGUAAUGAGUAAAGAAGCACCGGCUAACUACGUG